UGAGUCCUUUCCUUCUCCUGGGUCAGGUGGCUCAGGGCACUGCAGGAUAACCAACAGGAAGGCCCAGCAGCGAGGCUCAGGUGGAGAGCGAGGUGUCUUGUCUCCUAUAUCACUUCUAGAACACUUUAUAAACUAACUCCCAGUCAUUUCCCGCACCCUCCACUCUCACACACACAAAGAAAAGUCUAAAACCUCCCUCCCCUUAAAUGCAUGCCUCUGCAGGAAUUUCUCUUCAGUAUAAAUUUCUUGGAACUAAAACUUCUUUUAAGGAGAAAAGAAAUGGGCACGCCCAUGCUAGGUGUAAGGCAACAAUGCAACGAGAAAAUGAAGGGGUAAGAAUGAAUUAGCGCCAACGCCAAUCCCCAGGAGUUGAGAACCCUGGGCGCUUGGAGCCUGAGGGGCGGGGACAGCGCCUGGUGAACUUUCCCUGGCCGAGCCGCGGGAGAUGCAGCUCCCAGGGGACCGGGUGGGACCAGAAAAGGCUGAGCCGACCUGAGACAUCGGCGGGGACAACAGGAAGCGAGUCUCCCCUUUUCCUAAAAAGAGCUCUGGUCCCGGCAGACGCCCCCCGCCCCCUGCCAGCCGUCGUCAACCAGCCAGCGCCCCCACCCCCGCCCCGCCACCUCGCUUUCCCUGCCCGAGCCAAGCGGGGAGGGGCGCGCACACAAAAGGGGGAGCGUCCGGGGAAGGGGCUCCCGGCGUCGUCGGCUCGCUGAGGCCUCGCUCGCCUUCCCGGCGCUGCCUGCCCGCGACCACCCGCCUUCCCGCGCGUCCGGAUCGCAGCCCCCAGUUUCAGACUCCCAUUGGGGGGCGAGUAGGGUGGGUCAGGUGGUGACCUGCCAAGCACCCGGCUUUGAAGAGACUACACAAGGAAGGGACUGGAACUGGAUGAAGGCCAGAAUACAGUUCCAACUCUGCCCCCAGACAGUCUGCAAAGGGCCUUGCACCCUCCUCCUGGACAAGCCUGCCGAAGAGACCCACCUGCUCAUCUGGGCACACACCCCAGGGAACAGGCACUUCGCCCCUCCUCCCCUGAGGACUUGCAGUCUCCUGGUCUGCUGAGACAAAUCCACAUGCUCAGCCACAGAGACUGAAGGUAAAAACCACAAACCAGAGUGCCCCACACACCUGUGUGUUUCCAUCAUUUGCAUGUCAAGCAAGUUAGGAACCUUGGAGAGAGAGAAACCUCAACCGCUUUGUCUCAGGGAGGCCCAGCCUUAACUAGUGGGAGGAGUUGAGCUCCAGGGCUGGGUGCCCAGAUGCCUCUGAGGGGUCUCUCCCACCCACCUCUCCCAGGGCCCCUUCACUUGGUGGUUCGUUGGGUUUUGGAGUCCCUUGAAACCCCAGGAGGUAGUCCAUAGGGCAGCUAAAGAUGCCUAAUCUAGAGGGACUGACCCAUGCCUGCAUCCUGACUCCUGUCUCCUUUGCCAAGGUUGUAACCGAGAGUUCAGAAUUUACCCUCCUUGCAAUUAUGUGACACUUGCCCACGGUGCCGUUCAUUUGCCACUUUUCUGCUUACUUGCAAGAUCCCUCUGCAGUUCCUCCCCUGUCUGUUGCCGUGGCAUUUGGGAGCGAGGAAAAUGCAUCUGCAAACUUGGAGAUUCCCCUGUUUACACUGGGAGGCGAGUGUUCACGAAAUCUUUUCAUGUGUUAUUAAUACAGUCAUCAAAUAAAACCAGUCACUGGAAGAGAUGCUUGUCCUUG
rnacentral:lncRNA from 1 species